rnacentral:lncRNA from 1 species
CAUGCCAGAAGAAUCCCUGUGGCCACUGCAUCCUGUGGUGUCCAUGAGGCACCACAGCUCGUCCUGGCUGGGACCCGGUACCCUCCAUGGGAAGCCAGCACUAGCUCUCAUCCCCUGUCUGGGAGAUGCCACUAAUCCCAGUCCUCUUCUGCCAACACCUGCUGGUCAGAUGUCCCCCUAUACCCAGCCCACUGUCCUUGAAGGCUAUAGGACCCCUGCUGCCAACACAGUGGGCCACAAGAC